rnacentral:rRNA from 1 species
UACGUAGGGGGCAAGCGUUGUCCGGAUUUAUUGGGCGUAAAGAGCGUGUAGGCGGCUAGAUAGGUCCGUUGUGAAAACUCGAGGCUCAACCUCGAGACGUCGAUGGAAACCAUCUGGCUAGAGUCCGGAAGAGGAGAGUGGAAUUCCUGGUGUAGCGGUGAAAUGCGCAGAUAUCAGGAAGAACACCCGUGGCGAAGGCGGCUCUCUGGUACGUGACUGACGCUA